rnacentral:rRNA from 1 species
GGAAUAUUGCACAAUGGGCGCAAGCCUGAUGCAGCCAUGCCGCGUGUAUGAAGAAGGCCUUCGGGUUGUAAAGUACUUUCAGUGGGGAGGAAGGCGAUGAAGUUAAUAGCUUCGUCGAUUGACGUUACCCGCAGAAGAAGCACCGGCUAACUCCGUGCCAGCAGCCGCGGUAAUACGGAGGGUGCAAGCGUUAAUCGGAAUUACUGGGCGUAAAGCGCACGCAGGCGGUCUGUCAAGUCGGAUGUGAAAUCCCCGGGCUCAACCUGGGAACUGCAUUCGAAACUGGCAGGCUAGAGUCUUGUAGAGGGGGGUAGAAUUCCAGGUGUAGCGGUGAAAUGCGUAGAGAUCUGGAGGAAUACCGGUGGCGAAGGCGGCCCCCUGGACAAAGACUGACGCUCAGGUGCGAAAGCGUGGGGAGCAAACAGGAUUAGAUACCCCGG